rnacentral:rRNA from 1 species
GACGAACGCUGGCGGCGUGCUUAACACAUGCAAGUCGAACGGAAAGGCCCUGCUUUUGUGGGGUGCUCGAGUGGCGAACGGGUGAGUAACACGUGAGUAACCUGCCCUUGACUUUGGGAUAACUUCAGGAAACUGGGGCUAAUACCGGAUAGGAGCUCCUGCUGCAUGGUGGGGGUUGGAAAGUUUCGGCGGUUGGGGAUGGACUCGCGGCUUAUCAGCUUGUUGGUGGGGUAGUGGCUUACCAAGGCUUUGACGGGUAGCCGGCCUGAGAGGGUGACCGGCCACUUUGGGAUAGAGUACCGGCCGACACCCCUAGGGGGGCCACGAGGGGGAAUAUUUCAAAAGGGGGCGAAACCUGAGUGCAGACACGCCGUGGGGGGGAUGGCGCCCUUGGGGUUGAAACCCCUUUUCGCGUGAGACGAAGGGGGAGGGGGGUAAAGGGAUAGAAGGCCCGGGACAAACCCGGGC